UACGUAGGGUGCGAGCGUUGUCCGGAAUUAUUGGGCGUAAAGAGCUCGUAGGCGGUCUGUCGCGUCGGUCGUGAAAACCUGCAGCUUAACUGUGGGCGUGCGGUCGAUACGGGCAUGACUGGAGUUCGGCAGGGGAGACUGGAAUUCCUGGUGUAGCGGUGAAAUGCGCAGAUAUCAGGAGGAACACCGGUGGCGAAGGCGGGUCUCUGGGCCGAUACUGACGCUGAGGAGCGAAAGCGUGGGGAGUGAACAGG
rnacentral:rRNA from 1 species